CACUUUGAUUACCAUUCUAGGGUUAUGCCCCUUUACAAGUGGAACAAUUUUUAUACGACUGCAAAAAUUGAAAAUUUUUUGGUCGUAUAUUGGUAUCACGUCGGCCUCAGCUUCCUCAUCGUCGUCGUCCGAAUUCUUUUGUUUUUUGCACUAUAACUUUAGUUUAAGUGAAUAGAAAUCUAUGAAAUUUAAACACAAAGUUUAUGACUCCAAAAGGAAGGUUGGGAUUGAUUUUGGAAGUUUUGGUCCCAACAGUUUAGGAAUUAGGGGCCCAAAAGGGCCCAAAGAAGCAUUUUCUU
rnacentral:lncRNA from 1 species